rnacentral:rRNA from 1 species
UUCUAUUAAUAGCCUAUUUAAUGKGUUGGAAAAUACGAACAAUAGUUUAAACACCAAAGAAUUUGGCGGUGCCUCAACUAGUUAGGGGAACCUGUCCCUUAAAUCGAUAAUCCACGAAAGUCUUACCUAAUUUUGAAACUCAGUUAGUGUACUGCCGUCUAAAGUAUACCUUUAUGAGAGUAUACAACUUAUUAUUAAUAUAAUAUUACGUCAGGUCAAAGUGCAGCUUAUAGUUAGGAGGAGAUGGGUUACAAUCUAAAUAAAGAUUACGGAUAAUAAUAAUAAAUUAUUUUUUUAAGGUGGACUUAACAGUAAUUACAUGAAUACUGUAAUGAAAAUUAUCUGAGGCAAGU